rnacentral:tRNA from 1 species
UCCCUGGUAGCUCAGAGGGUAAAAGCAUCUGCCUACAAUGCGGGAGACCUGGGUUCGAUCCCUGGGCUGGGAA